rnacentral:ncRNA from 2 species
UUAAUAAGCGGAAAUCUAGGUGUGAAUACUUAAUAGAAAAAUUGGUUGGAAGCCAAUACGGUCACGCCGCUGUAAUGUCGAGCAAACCUCAAUUAUUGCCACUGGGAAACUGGGAAGGCGGGGUAAGCAAUGAAGCAGAGUCAGAAGAACUGCCUAGAUUUUUCUACUGUA